AAAAGAAACUAACCAGGAUUCCCCUAGUAGCGGCGAGCGAAGCGGGAACAGCCCAAUAUGAAAAGCCUUCGGGCGUUGUAGUUGAGCGAUCUUGAGGCGUCAGUUCAGGAAAGUGGCAUGGAAAUGUCUACCGUGGAGGGUGAGAGUCCCGUCCAUCCUGGACAGGACGUCCUCGUACGAGGUCGUUUCAGUCGAGUCGGGUAGCUUGGGAAUGCUGCUCUAAUCGGUGGUAAAUCUCAUCGAAGGCUAAAUACUGGUGGGAGACCGAUAGCGAACAAGUACCGUGAGGGAAAGGUCAAAAGCACUUUGAAAAGAGGGUGAAAAGAACCUGAAACCGUUACGGGGGAAGCGGAUUGCGUUGGAUUGAUGGGUGUCUGUGUGCUCAGCCGAUUUCGGUGUAUUCAUGCAGAUGCUUACCUGCCGUGGGUUUCCGUGUAGUCGAAUUUGGGCUACCGGAGGCUGAGGGAUCCCUUUAUGGUGAGGACGGCAGGGUGACGACGCGAUACGACCCGUCUUGAAACACGGACCAAGGAGUCUAGCACAUCUGCGAGUCGUAGGGUGGAGAAACCUGAGGGCGCAGUGAAAGCGAGUUUUAAAAACGAGCAGUUUGAGGCGGCAUACUUUCGUUGAUUGUAGGUCCGACCUAGAGCAAAUGUGCUGGGACCCGAAAGAUGGUGAACUAUACCGGAGUAGGGCGAAGCCAGAGGAAACUCUGGUGGAGGCUCGUAGCGGUGCUGACGUGCAAAUCGCUCGUCGAACUUGGGUAUAGGGGCGAAAGACUAAUCGAACCAUCUAGUAGCUGGUUCCCUCCGAAGUUUCUCUCAGGAUAGCAGGCCGACAGACGUUGUUAUGUGCGGUAAAGCGAAUGAUUAGCGUAAUUGGGGGCGCUUAGCCUUCGGACGAUUCUCAAACUUUAAAUGCGCAAGGGAGUUGCUGCUUAAUUGAGCUUCUCCUUCAAAAACGUCGGCCUUGUGGGCCACUUUUGGUAAGCAGAACUGGCGAUACGGGAUGAACCGUAAGCGUGGUUAAGGCGCCAAAGUAUCCGCUUAUAGAACCCAAAAAAGGUGUUGAUUCAUCGAGACAGCAGGACGGUGGCCAUGGAAGUCGGAAUCCGCUAAGGAGUGUGUAACAACUCACCUGCCGAAUGAAUUAGCCCUGAAAAUGGAUGGCGCUGAAGCGGAUCGCCGACACCACGCCGUCUGGGCAAAGUGGUUUCCAGAUGAGUAGGAGGGCGUGGCGGUUGUAUCGAAGCGUGGAUGCGAAUCUGCGUGGAACAGCCGCUAGUGCAGAUCUUGGUGGUAGUAGCAAAUAUUCAAGCGAGAUCCUUGAAGGGCGAAGCGGGGAAGGGUUCCACGCGAACAUUGAUUGGGCGUGGGUGAGUCGUUCCUAAGCCGCGUGGCAAUGGCUAAUUAUCGGCGAAAGGGAAGCGGGUUGACAUUCCCGCACACGGAUGUGGAGACGGUGACGAUUAAUGAGGCGAUCACGCUGGCGAUGGCGCUGGGCAGAGUUGUCUUUUCUGUUUGACCAUCGACUCGCUGUGUGGAAUCCGCUUGUCGGGAGAAACACGCGGGUCCGGGCAGAGCGCCGGGGCUUUUCCGGCGUCCAGCUCGCCAUCGACGGCCCUUGAAAAAUUGCCUGCUGGACAACCUCGUGUUGUAAAAUCCACGCCGUGGCGUACCGAUAACCGCAUCAGGUCCCCAAGGUGAACAGCCUCUGCUCAGUAUGAACAAUGCAGGUAAGGGAAGUCGGCAAAUUGGACCCGUAACUUUGGGAAAAGGGUUGGCUCUAGUGCUGCGUGGGAGUAGUUGUCGGCUGCCGGCGCUGUUGGAGGUGCGUGUGCGGCGCGUCUCGCAAGAGAUGUGCUGCACUGCGCUUCCGAUGGUGCUGCUCCGACGACGCCCACAGCAUGCAGCAAACUAGAACUGCAACGGGCAAAGGGAAUCCGACUGUUUAAUUAAAACAAAGCAUUGCGAAGGCCGUGGCCGGUGUUGACGCAAUGUGAUUUCUGCUCAGUGCUCUGAAUGUCAAAGUGAAGAGAUUCAAUCAAGCGCGGGUAAACAGCGGGAGUAACUAUGACUCUCUUAAGGUAGCCAAAUGCCUCGUCAUCUAAUUAGUGACGCGCAUGAAUGGAUUAACGAGAUUCCUACUGUCCCUAUCUGCUUCUAGCGAAACCACAGCCGAGGGAACGGGCUCGGCGAAAUCGGCGGGGAAAGAAGACCCUGUUGAGCUUGACUCUAUUCUAAUUUUGUGAAGCAAGUUGGGAGGUGUAGCAUAGGUGGGAGUGCUUGCACGUCCGUGAAAUACCACUACUCCCAGUCUUGCUUUACUUACUGGGUUGGUGUGGGUGGGUCUUACGACCCUUUUCUUAGAACCAACGUUCUGCGGACCACAGCCCAGCACACAUUUAGGAGGGGAGUUUGGCUGGGGCGGCACAUCUUCUACAAGACAACGAAGGUGUCCAAAGAUAAGCUCAGUGAGAACAGAAAUCUCACGUAGCGCAAAAGGGUAAAAGCUUGUUUGAUUUUGAUUUCCAGUGCGAGUCGAAAACGCUAAAGCGUGGCCUAUCGAUCCUUUCACGAUUCGAGAUUUGAAGCGAGAGGUGUCAGAAAAGUUACCACAGGGAUAACUGGCUUGUGGCGGCCAAGCGUUCAUAGCGACGUCGCUUUUUGAUCCU
rnacentral:rRNA from 1 species